AUUGAACGCUGGCGGCAUGCCUUACACAUGCAAGUCGAACGGCAGCACGGGAGCUUGCUCCUGGUGGCGAGUGGCGAACGGGUGAGUAAUGCAUCGGAACGUGCCCUGAAGUGGGGGAUAACGUAGCGAAAGUUACGCUAAUACCGCAUAUUCUGUGAGCAGGAAAGCAGGGGAUCUUCGGACCUUGCGCUUUUGGAGCGGCCGAUGUCGGAUUAGCUAGUUGGUGGGGUAAAGGCCCACCAAGGCGACGAUCCGUAGCGGGUCUGAGGGGAUGAUCCGCCACACUGGAACUGAGACACGGUCCAGACUCCUACGGAGGCAGCAGUGGGGAAUUUUGGACAAUGGGCGCAAGCCUGAUCCAGCCAUGCCGCGUGAGUGAAGAAGG
rnacentral:rRNA from 1 species